UACGGAGGUGGCAAGCGUUGUUCGGAAUUACUGGGCGUAAAGGGCGCGUAGGCGGCAAGGCAAGUCAGGUGUGAAAGCCCCGGGCUUAACCCGGGAAUUGCAUCUGAAACUGCUGUCUUGAGUCCGGGAGGGGGUAGUGGAAUUCCAGGUGUAGCGGUGAAAUGCGUAGAUAUCGGGAGGAACACCUGCGGCGAAGGCGGCUACCUGGACAGAAACUGACGCUGAGGCGCGAAAGCCAGGGGAGCGAAC
rnacentral:rRNA from 1 species